CUUACAUUUUUACAUAGAAAACAUUUGGCACCGAUCCCAACUGGACUGGAAAAAGGAUGGGUUGCCUGGGCGUGGACCUGAGCCCUAGGACCAUGCCCCAGGACUACCUGACAUGAUGACUCCUUGCUGUCCACAGUCCACUUGGCCGUGCUGCUGCUCCAGUUUCAACUGACCUGAGCCCUAGGACCAUGCCCCAGGACUACCUGACAUGAUGACUCCUUGCUGUCCCCAGUCCACCUGACCGUGCUGCUGCUCCAGUUUCAACUGUUCUGCCUUUAUUAUUAUUCGACCAUGCUGGUCAUUUAGGAACAUUUGAACAUCUUGGCCAUGUUCUGUUAUAAUCUCCACCCGGCACAGCCAGAAGAGGACUGGCCACCCCACAUAGCCUGGUUCCUCUCUAGGUUUCUUCCUAGGUUUUGGCCUUUCUAGGGAGUUUUUCCUAGCCACCGUGCUUCUACACCUGCAUUGCUUGCUGUUUGGGGUUUUAGGCUGGGUUUCUGUACAGCACUUUGAGAUAUCAGCUGAUGUACGAAGGGCUAUAUAAAUAAAUUUGAUUUGAUUUGAUUUUGAAGUGUAUGUCACAUGAGAGGCAUUUGUCAAAAUGUUGUUGUUUUUUUGGCAGAAAUGCCUUCUGGAACAGGUGAACUUUCAUAUGCCUUAAUAACAAGCUUGUAUGCCAUCUGUAAAUAUGAAUAAAAUUGUUAAAUUGUUAAAUUACGAGCCUAGUUGGUUUAGACUCAGAAAAAGACUUCCCGCUAGCCAUGAUUGGCUGAGAUAAUGGAUGGGUCGGACAUGCCGAGAGAUGAGUUCGGAUUGGUCUGGAUGUCAUAAGGUGAAUGCACCAAUUUGUAAGUCGCUCUGGAUAAGAGCGUCUGCUAAAUGACUUAAAUGUAAAUGUAAUGUAAAUGUCUGCAAUGUAGCAUGCUUCUGUUUAUAACAUGAGCUGCUCAGUAUGUAGAUAAUCCUUGCUACCGUGACUUUUUUGAAAGAUAUAGCAUUAGCCAUGGAGAACGGCAAAAGUGUUGCUACUGCUAGUCGUAUGGGUUGGGAUUAUGGAUUCAUUGUUUAGCUAGCUAGCUAAAAGACUCCACUAAAACAGAUGACUACAUGAUCCAUCAAGUUAGCCAGGUGUGUCUGGGGAGGAUUACAGCAAUCUAUUGUACAUAUCUAGAUAAUAGUGACUCAUUAUUUCACAUGACCCAUCAAUUUAGACAAGUGUCUCUGGGUAAGCAUCAUCUAAUAAAUUAUACAGUAUAUGUAUCUGGACACUUUAUAUUUUUGAUAUAGUGUGUGUUUACCAGAGACAGUAAUGUGAAGAACAACAUGACCUGCACCAAAGUCAGAUUAGGAUAUAGGCCAAGGACAAGAUAAAGUUUUUUCCUUGUCCAAGAUGGCAUAGCAGCAAGACAUGUUUGUUUUUGUCCCGUUUUUGUCCCGUGUAAAUAUUCAGCUUUUUUUGCUUUUCUAUAUACAUAUAUUUCAAUCUCUUUUUUCAUUUUCGAAUAAAAUAUACUUUCCUGCAACCCGCCUCACCCAA